rnacentral:snRNA from 1 species
AUAUAAUCACCAUUUGGUGGCAUAUAUACUAGAAUUGGAAUGGUACAGAAAUUACCAUAGCCUUUGUCCAAGGAUGGUAUGCACUUUAUAAAUCAGUCCAUAUAAUU